rnacentral:rRNA from 1 species
GAUUAACGCUGGCGGCGUGCCUGACACAUGCAAGUCGAACGAGUUCUAGUUGCCCGCAAGGGUGACUAGCGCUAGUGGCGGACGGGUGAGUAACACGUGGGCAACCUGCCUGAGAGCGCGGAAUAACCCUGCGAAAGCAGAGCUAAUACCGCAUGUGGUUGUUGGUUGGCAUCUAUCAACAACUAAAGUCGCAAGACGCUCUCAGAUGGGCCCGCGGCCUAUUAGCUAGUUGGUGAGGUAACGGCCCACCAAGGCUGUGAUGGGUAGCUGGUCUGAGAGGACGGACAGCCACACUGGGACUGAGACACGGCCCAGACUCCUACGGGAGGCAGCAGUGAGGAAUUUUCCGCAAUGGGCGAAAGCCUGACGGAGCAACGCCGCGUGAGGGAUGAAGUCUCUAGGGAUGU